rnacentral:rRNA from 1 species
GAUGAACGCUAGCGGCAGGCCUAACACAUGCAAGUCGAACGGUGUAUGUAGCAAUACAUGCAGAGUGGCGCACGGGUGAGUAACGCGUAUGCAACCUACCUGUAACAGGGGGAUAGCUCCCCGAAAGGGGAAUUAAUACCGCAUAAUACUAUUGGGAGGCAUCUUUUGAUAGUUAAAACUAAGGUGGUUACAGAUGGGCAUGCGUGCCAUUAGCUAGUUGGUAGGGUAACGGCCUACCAAGGCAACGAUGGCUAGGGGGUCUUAAAGGAUGGUCCCCCACCCUGGUACUGAGACCCGGACCAGGCUCCUACGGGAGGCAGCAGUGAGGAAUAUUGGUGAAUGGGCGCAAGCCUGAACCAGCCAUGCCGCGUGCAGGAUGACGGCCCUACGGGUUGUAAACUGCUUUUAUAUGGGAAGAAAUUCGGGUACGAGUAUCCGAUUGACGGUACCAUAGGAAUAAGGAUCGGCUAACUCCGUGCCAGCAGCCGCCGUAA